UGCCCAUAUUGCCAAUGGUCGCAUGUAGCAAAGCGAUCUAUACUGGUCAUCAGUAUUCCACCCUUCUGGAAUCUGAAAUGAAUAACCGAGACCUUCUUGGGACCAUGCUGCUUCAUAGAUACCAACUGCAGUCUGAAAUGCCAUGUCCACCAUUCCCUCUUGAAUCAUAGAAGCAGCAACAGCAUAUGUAACUCCAGGCCAUAUUUCUCUCGAUUGCAAUGCUGACAUAUCAACUCUUCCAUCUGGUAGCAUUCCAUUGACUGCACCUCGCAUUCCAUCUUUCACCUUUAAGACAUUGAACUUGUGAAUCUUUUCGAGGGAACUCUUUACUUUUUCCUCAUCAACAAUUGGAGAAAG
rnacentral:misc_RNA from 1 species